rnacentral:rRNA from 1 species
AACGAACGCUGGCGGCAUGCCUAACACAUGCAAGUCGAACGAAGGCUUCGGCCUUAGUGGCGCACGGGUGCGUAACGCGUGGGAAUCUGCCCUUUGGUUCGGAAUAACAGCUGGAAACGGCUGCUAAUACCGGAUGAUGACGAAAGUCCAAAGAUUUAUCGCCAGAGGAUGAGCCCGCGUUGGAUUAGGUAGUUGGUGGGGUAAAGGCUUACCAAGCCGACGAUCCAUAGCUGGUCUGAGAGGAUGAUCAGCCACACUGGGACUGAGACACGGCCCAGACUCCUACGGGAGGCAGCAGUGGGGAAUAUUGGACAAUGGGCGCAAGCCUGAUCCAGCAAUGCCGCGUGAGUGAUGAAGGCCCUAGGGUUGUAAAGCUCUUUUACCCGGGAAGAUAAUGACUGUACCGGGAGAAUAAGCCCCGGCUAACUCCGU